CCCACAUGCCGCGCAGCAACUAAGCGCGUAAGGCACAACUACUGAGCCUGCGUUCGAGAGCCCGUAAGCCACAACUACUGAAGCCCACGCACCUAGAACCCGUGCUCUGCAACAAGAGAAGCCACUGCAAUGAGAGGCCUGCGCACUGCAACAAAGAAUAAGGCCCACUCGCUGCAACUAAAAAGCCUGCGUGCAGCAACGAAGAACCAACGCAGCCAAAAAUAAAUUUUUUUAAAAAAGAUUGUACACAAGGGCAGGAGGCUUUUUGGUUUUAUAGGCCACGCUUCUCUGGAUGCGCUCUCCUUUGAUGUUAACUACAUGUGGCAAGAGUGGGCGCCGGACCGUCAGAACUGUUCCUUGAGGGGAUGCAGGUUCGAUCCCUGGUCAGGGAGCUAAGAUCCCACAUGCCGUGCGGUGCGGCCAAAUUAAAAAAUAAAAAAGUGCUU